rnacentral:rRNA from 1 species
GUACGAGGUUUCUGCAAUACACGAAAGUGUGACAGGGGAAUCCAAAGUGCUUAAGCAAUAGCUUAGGCUUUUGCGGAGUGUAAAUAGCUCCGAGAAUAAGUGGUGGGUAAGACGGGUGCCAGCAGCCGCGGUAACCCCCGCGCCACGAGUGGCAAUCGGCAUUAUUGGGUCUAAAGCGUCCGUAGUCGGCUGUGUAAAUCUUCCGUGAAAUCGUCUCGCUCAACGGGACGGCGUGCGGAAGACACUGCGCGGCUCGGGACCAGAAGGUGCAAGAGGUAUUCCCGGGGUAGCGGUAAAAUGCGAUAAUCCUGGGAGGACCACCGAUGGCGAAGGCAUCUUGCAAGGAUGGGUCCGACGAUGAGGGACGAAAGCCAGGGGAGCAAAACGGAUUAGAUACCCGAGUAGUCCUGGCUGUAAACGCUGCGAGCUAGGUGUUGCACUUCCCUCGUGGAAGUGCAGUAUCGUAGAGAAGUCGUUAAGCUCGCCACCUGGGAAGUACGGUCGCAAGGCUGAAACGUU